rnacentral:rRNA from 1 species
AUUGAACGCUGGCGGCAGGCCUAACACAUGCAAGUCGAGCGGAGCGGCGGACGGGUGAGUAAUGCCUAGGAAUCUGCCUGGUAGUGGGGGAUAACGUCCGGAAAUGGGCGCUAAUACCGCAUCCUAUCAGAUGAGCCUAGGCCUGAUUAGCUAGCUGGUGGGGUAAAGGCCUACCAAGGCGACGAUCCGUAACUGGUCUGAGAGGAUGAUCAGUCACACUGGAACUGAGACACGGUCCAGACUCCUACGGGAGGCAGCAGUGGGGAAUAUUGCACAAUGGGCGCAAGCCUGAUGCAGCCAUGCCGCGUGUAUGAAGAAGGCCUUCGGGUUGUAAAGUACUUUCAGCGAGGAGGCGUUACCCGCAGAAGAAGCACCGGCUAACUCCGUGCCAGCAGCCGCGGUAAUUC